rnacentral:misc_RNA from 1 species
AUCAUAUUAGAUCAAGUCAUUUAUAUAGAAAACACCAAGAUGGUAAUUUUAUUUUUUCAAUAUUCAUAUUUGUAAUGGAAAAGAAAAGGAGAAAGAGAGUCAUGAAAUCUAAUAUUCUUUGAAUUCUAACAUUUUCUUAGACAAAUUAAGCCUUGGCACUUCUAUUUCUUUCGAUUAAUCCUGGAAAACGACAGGAAUAUUGAAAAGUACAAUCUUGGCAUAUAAAUUAUAAAGAAAAUGUUAAAAUUCAAAUAAAUAAGUAAAACAUCAACCUAAGGCUUUUAAAUCAGAUCCCAUCUCAAAUAAUUUCUAUUUGAUUAAAGUUCAAGAAAUCAUUUAUUUUGCUUGUUAACACAGUGGUUUUAAUUUGGCAUAAUUAAUUAUAAAUAUAUUUAAAAAGAAGCCGUUAAUUAAAUACCUCCUUGAACAAGUUACUGAGAGAUCGUCGCUUAGUACUUUGAUCAUCAGCCUUGUCGUCAUCAACGAUCUCCUUCACCUUAUCAUCACCUUCAUUCUCAACAACCUUAUUUUCUUUCACCUCUUUUGCGAGAGGAAGCGAUCGUUCCCCCUUAUUAACUUGGGAAACCGACUCCUCCACCGCCGGUUCAGCAGCCGGCACCGGAGCUUGAGCAUCAUCCCUUAAAACCUUAGGCUUAGUCGCGCAAGCUCCCAUGUCGUCCAAAAUUCUCUUUCUUUCUUUCUUUCU